CUUAAGUUGACAUGAGAUAGAUUAACAAGAGAAAACUCCAACAAAAGUUUAGUACCUUGUAUACCUCCUGUAUACAUGAGAGAUACCCAGAAAAACUGAGAAACUUACCAAAAUAGCCGAUGCCACCACCUUAAAUACCAUCUUCAGCUACAGACCAAAGAAGUUGUUGCAGGUGGAGGGAGUCAAUUACGUGAGGUUCCCAGGAAAAGCACAGUAAACAAGGAUGAAGUUAUUAUUUAAGUCAUCACCUCCUCCAUUGAUAAGACUUUCUAGAGAUAAGGGCUAAAGACUUGCAUGAUGUGGGCCUUACCUACCCCAUUUGCUUCAUCUCAUCCUCUCAUCCUGCAGGCUCCAACCAAACUGGACUUUCAGUAUUUCUCAAACAGCCCAGGGAAGGAUUUUUUUUUUUUUAACUUCUUCAUUCUCAGUUUCAUCCUAAUCCAGUCUGUUACCCUUUGUGAAAGAUGACAUAAGUGAAGCCAUAUUAAAAUAGAGCCAGAACAGCCAUUUCAGAGGAACUGCCUUUCACAUCUUGUUUAUUUUUAUCUUCCAAACUGGACCAAACCACCAACAUUCCAAGAGGUCAGUAAGGACAAGAAUAUCCCGUUUGUAAGGACUGAUGGAAUUGGCCUUUGCUGAUGACCAGGUGGAUAACCAAUCAAUGGAGCACAAGUCUAGCCUUUUGCCUGAUGACCUAAUCUCCCGCCAAUCUGUGAAGUACAAACCCAGCCUUACCUCAUUUGGCACCAAUGAACUCUUCUUUAAUACAACUCACCUCGUCCUCCCUUUUUCCCACAAAAGCUUUAAGCCUCUCUCCUGUAAUCAGGACACUAUUUGAGUUUCUACCAGAUUCUGUGCUCCCUGAAUUGCAAUUCUUUGAUCCCAAAUAAACACUUUGCC
rnacentral:lncRNA from 1 species